rnacentral:pre_miRNA from 1 species
AAUGUACUCCCUCCGUUUCGAAUUACUCGUCGCAGAAAUGGAUGUAUCUAGAACUAAAAUACAUCUAGAUACAUCCAUACCUGCGACAAGUAAUUCGGAACGGAGGAAGUAGUAA